rnacentral:rRNA from 1 species
AGUAACACGUGGAUAACCUACCUAUAAGACUGGGAUAACUUCGGGAAACCGGAGCUAAUACCGGAUAAUAUUUUGAACCGCAUGGUUCAAAAGUGAAAGACGGUCUUGCUGUCACUUAUAGAUGUAUCCGCGCUGCAUUAGCUAGUUGGUAAGGUAACGGCUUACCAAGGCAACGAUGCAUAGCCGACCUGAGAGGGUGAUCGGCCACACUGGAACUGAGACACGGUCCAG